CCUACGGGAGGCAGCAGUGAGGAAUAUUGGUCAAUGGUCGGGAGACUGAACCAGCCAAGCCGCGUGAGGGAUGAAGGUACAGAGUAUCGUAAACCUCUUUUGUCAGGGAACAAAGGCGGGGACGUGUCCCCGGAUGAGUGUAUCUGAAGAAAAAGCAUCGGCUAACUCCGUGCAAGCAGCCGCGGUAAUACGGAGGAUGCGAGCGUUAUACGGUUUGAUGGGGUUUAAGGGGUGCGAAGGCGGUCUGAUAAGUAAGAGGGCAAAGCCCGGGGCUCAACCCCGGCCCGCCGUUGAAACUGGCAGUCUCGAGUUGGAGAGAAGUAUGCGGAAUGCGCGGUGUAGCGGUGAAAUGCAUAGAUAUCGCGCAGAACUCCGAUUGCGAAGGCAGCAUGCCGGCUCCACACUGACGCUGAGGCACGAAAGCGUGGGUAUCGAACAGGAUUAGAUACCCGAGUAGUC
rnacentral:rRNA from 1 species